rnacentral:misc_RNA from 1 species
GAUGAAGAACGUAGCGAAAUGCGAUACUUGGUGUGAAUUGCAGAAUCCCGUGAACCAUCGAGUCUUUGAACGCAAGUUGCGCCCGAAGCCAUUAGGCCGAGGGCACGCCUGCCUGGGCGUCACACGUCGUUGCCCCCCCAUCUACUCCUUCGGGAUUGCGGGGGGCGGAUGAUGGCCUCCCGUGCGCCUCGUCGCGCGGUUGGCAUAAAUGCCAAGUCCUCGGCGACGCACGCCACGACAAUCGGUGGUUGCGAAACCUCGGUUGCCCGUCGUGUGCGGUCGUCGCGCAUCGAGGGCUCGAAAAAAUUGCCGGGCUCCGGCUCGGCUUUCAACGCGACCCCAGGUCAGGCGGGGUUACCCGCUGAGUUUAAGCAUAUCAAUAAGCGGAGA